UACAGAGGGGGCAAGCGUUAUUCGGAAUUAUUGGGCGUAAAGGGCGCGUAGGCGGCCUUGCAAGUGGCGGGUGAAAUCCCUCGGCUUAACCGAGGAACUGCCUGCCAGACUGCAAGGCUCGAGACCGGGAGAGGUGAGUGGAAUUCCCAGUGUAGCGGUGAAAUGCGUAGAUAUUGGGAGGAACACCAGUGGCGAAGGCGGCUCACUGGACCGGAACUGACGCUGAGGCGCGAAAGCCAGGGGAGCGAACGGG
rnacentral:rRNA from 1 species